rnacentral:rRNA from 1 species
UAACAGGAAAUUUAAGGGCGUACGGUGGAUGCCUUGACUUUAAGAGGCGAUGAAGGACGUAGCGUUGCUGCGAUAAGCUUCGGGGAGGUGCUUAGCUACCUUUGAUCCGGAGAUUUCCGAAUGGGGAAACCCUGUCUGAUUUAAAUCGGAUAAUUUUUAUUUUUAUGAUAAAAAAGCAUACCCUGGGAAGUGAAACAUCUCAGUACCAGGAGGAAUAGAAACAAAUAUGUAUUUCCUUAGUAGCGGCGAGCGAAAAGGAAGAAGCCCAAACCAGAGUCGUAAGACUCUGGGGUUGUAAGAUGACAAUGUAGUUUACUAGAGGAGUCAAAAAAUAAGUUAUUAGCUUAAGUUGCUGGAAAGCAACACCAUAGGAGGUGAUAGUCCCGUGAGCGAAAAUAAUUUAUCUCUUUUAUUGUUAUUCUUGAGUACCCCAGGACAUGAAUGGCCGGGGGGAAUCCAGCGGAACUAACCGCUAAGGCUAAAUACUCUUAAAGAUCGAUAGUGAACUAGUACCGUGAGGGAAAGGUGAAAAGCAGCCCGAUUAGGGCGGUGAAAUAGACCUGAAACCGUAUGUCUACAAGGAGUUGGAGUGGUGAGUUUAUUCGAACCACAACAGCGUGCCUAUUGAAGAAUGAGCCAACGAGUUUAUGCAUACUGCUGGCUAAGCUGGUUAAAACAGCGCAGCCAUAGGGAAACCGAGUGUUAAUAGCGCGUAAUUGGUAGAAUGCAUAAGACCCGAAGCCAGGUGAGCUUGCCAUGAGCAGGAUGAAGUAGGUCGAAAGACUUAUGGAGGUCCGAACGGGUAGAUCGUACAACGUCUUCCGAUGACUUGUGGUAAGGAGUGAAAAGCUAAUCGAACCUGGUAAUAGCUGGUUCUCUCCGAAAUAGCUUUAGGGCUAGCGUCGUGUGUUUCUUUUGGGGGUAGAGCACUGGAAGGUUUCGACAGGGAGCAAUCUCGCGAAACCUAUCAAACUCCGAAUACUAGAGACCAUAGCUUGGCAGUUAGGCCAUGGGGGCGAAGCUCCAUUGGCCAAAAGGGAAACAGCCCGGAUCUCGAAAUAAGGUCCCUAAAUUUAUGCUAAGUGUAAGACAAGAAGGUGAUAUUUCUUUAACAAUGAGGAGGUUGGCUUAGAAGCAGCCAUCCUUUAAAGAUAGCGUAACAGCUCACUCAUCUAGAGAUUUUGCGUCGAAAAUAAUUGGGGCUAAGCAUAGUACCGAAUUUGAGGAUGUGAUUUUCCUUUGGGAAAAUUACGUGGUAGGAGAGUGUUCCAAUCUGCUGUGAAGGAAGACUCGUGAGAGCUUCUGGAGCGUUUGGAAGUAAGAAUGUUGGCACAAGUAACCGCAAUGGGGUUGAGAACGCCCCACGUCGAAAGAUCAAGGUUUCCUUGGUAAUGUCAAUCAGCCAAGGGUUAGUCGGGCCUAAGGGAAUGGCGAAAGCCGUACUCGAUGGACACAGGGUUAAUAUUCCCUGACUUUUAUAUUUAGUGACGGGAUGACGGAGUGCAGUAUGUAUCGCUCAUUAUUGGAUUUGAAGUUUGUUUAUUUAGGAUGAGGUGUAGGAAAAUCCGCACCCUGCUUUUAAUGGCGAAUCCAAGGUAAAUAAAAAGUUUUCCAUUUCGGUGGAGAAUAAUGAUACAAAGCGCGCUUCCAAGAAAAAUCUCUAAACUUAUAAAUAUAAAAUCCGUACCGCAAACCGACACAGGUGAUCAGGUCGAGUAGACCAAGACGAACGAGUGAGUGGUCCCCAAGGAACUCGGCAAAAAAGCAGCCGUAACUUCGGGAUAAGGCUUGCCCUUCGGCUCUCUUUUCUCUAUGUUCAAAGAUAGCUUCAGGGCUUUCAGCCCUUUAUAUAAGGGUCGAAGAUCCUGAGCAAACAAUGAACGUAGUGAGGAGUGAGCCGAAGGGCCGCAGCGAAAGUAUCUCUGGCAACUGUUUACCAAAAACACAGCUCCCUGCGAACUCGCAAGAGGAUGUAUAGGGGGUGACACCUGACCAAUGCCAGAAGGUCAAACAACGACGUUGGAUGAUAGUAAUAUUAUUUGGUGAUUGUUGUAAGCCCUGGUGAAUGUCGGCCGUAACUAUAACGGUCCUAAGGUAGCGAAAUACCUUGUCGGGUAAGUUCCGACGCGCACGAAUGGUGUAAUGACUGGAGAACUGUCUCGGGGACCAGCUCGGUGAAAAUACAAUACCGGUGAAGAUGCCGGUUAAGUGCAGUUAGACGAAAAGACCCUAGAAGCUUUACUAUAACUUUAUAUUGAGCAUGUUUUUGGACUGCGUAGAAUAGAUGGGAGAGGUCUGAUGUUUACGGUUUUGGCUGUAAUCUACUCGUCAGUGAAAUACCAUUCUUUUUGAAGGCAUGUUCUAACCAAUACGGCAAAAACGUAUUGAGACAGUAUAUGGUGGAUAGUUUUACUGGGGCUGUACCCUCGAGGGUUUAAGUACCCCAUAGGAAUUUCCUAUGGGGUAAGAUUUGAACCUUCGAAUUUUACAGCUCCAAGAGAUUUUUCUAUUCUGUAAUAUCCGUUGCAAAAAAAUUUCAAAAACAAAAAUAGGGGGGCUUUCAUGAGUAAUCAUGAUUAGAAAAAGUUAGCUAUAUCGGUGGAAGUCUUAUAUUAUAGUAAGAUUAUACCGAGGGAAGUUGUAAAUUUUGUAGAGGAAGGGAGAUUUUGGUGUACGGGGCACAUCCUUGGAUUAAAUUCCAAGUUCUUCUGGUCAGCAGGUCUCAAUUAGUGCAAGUCAACUAUAUGAUUGCACCGUACGGGAUACUCCACCAUAAGGACAGGUAAGGAGUGGGUUCUACUCCCACGUCUCUCUCCUCGCCAUCUUGAAGCGAUGUUUAAAUUAGCAUCGCUUCCUCUACAAAGUUUACAACACCCGUAGAGACUAAACGCUAACCUUCCUAAAAAAAGGAAGAAGAUAUAGUCCGAUCUAUAUGGCGACAUAUAGGGUGUUUUUACUCCAAAAACAUCAGUGUCAAAGAUGCCCUUUGACAUGUAACAAAAAUGCCUAAAAAGUAAAGGAGGGGUUUAAAGGUAAUCUAGGCGCGAAUGGAAACCGUGCCGAUAGUGUAAUGGCACAAGAUUGCUUGACUGUAAGAGGUACAUCUCGAGCAGGUACGAAAGUAGAACAUAGUGAACCGACCACCCGUAUUAGACGCGGUGGAAGAUUAACGGAUAAAAGCUACUCUAGGGAUAACAGGCUAGUUCCGCCCAAGAGUUCAUAUCGACGGCGGAGUUCGGCACCUCGAUGUCGGCUCACCUUAGCGCGGCGGUGGAGAAGCUGCCAAGCGUUUGGCUGUUCGCCAAUUAAAAAGGUACGCGAGCUGGGUUCAGACCGUACUGAAGCGGAAAUUUAUUU